rnacentral:rRNA from 1 species
GAUACCUUCCAUCACCAAAGUAUCCGCCUGAGAACUACGAGCACAAACGCUUAAAACUCUAAGGACUUGGCGGUGCCCCAGACCCACCUAGAGGAGCCUGUUCUAUAAUCGAUAACCCACGAUGCACCCGACCACUCCUUGCCAAAGCAGCCUAUAUACCGCCGUCGCCAGCUCACCUCGCCUGAAAGAACAACAGUGAGCAUAAUAGCCCCAACCCCGCUAACAAGACAGGUCAAGGUAUAGCCUAUGGGGUGGAAGAAAUGGGCUACAUUUUCUAAAAUAGAUAACUCACGGAAAGGGACAUGAAAUUGCCCCUGGAAGGCGGAUUUAGCAGUAAGGUGGGACAAUAAAGCCCACUUUAAGCCGGCUCUGAGG